rnacentral:rRNA from 1 species
UAGGGAAUCUUCGGCAAUGGACGAAAGUCUGACCGAGCAACGCCGCGUGAGUGAAGAAGGUUUUCGGAUCGUAAAACUCUGUUGUUAGAGAAGAACAAGUGGGAGAGUAACUGUUCCCACCUUGACGGUAUCUAACCAGAAAGCCACGGCUAACUACGUGCCAGCAGCCGCGGUAAUACGUAGGUGGCAAGCGUUGUCCGGAUUUAUUGGGCGUAAAGCGAGCGCAGGCGGUUCUUUAAGUCUGAUGUGAAAGCCCCCGGCUCAACCGGGGAGGGUCAUUGGAAACUGGGGAACUUGAGUGCAGAAGAGGAGAGUGGAAUUCCAUGUGUAGCGGUGAAAUGCGUAGAUAUAUGGAGGAACACCAGUGGCGAAGGCGACUCUCUGGUCUGUAACUGACGCUGAGGCUCGAAAGCGUGGGGAGCAAACA